CCUACGGGAGACAGCAGUGGGGAAUAUUGGGCAAUGGGCGCAAGCCUGACCCAGCAACGCCGCGUGAAGGAAGAAGGCUUUCGGGUUGUAAACUUCUUUUAAGGGGGAAGAGCAGAAGACGGUACCCCUUUAAUAAGCCACGGCUAACUACGUGCCAGCAGCCGCGGUAAUACGUAGGUGGCAAGCGUUGUCCGGAUUUACUGGGUGUAAAGGGCGUGCAGCCGGAGAGACAAGUCAGAUGUGAAAUCCACGGGCUCAAACCGUGAACUGCAUUUGAAACUGUUUCCCUUGAGUGUCGGAGAGGUAAUCGGAAUGCCUGGUGUAGCGGUGAAAUGCGUAGAUAUAAGGAAGAACACCGGUGGCGAAGGCGGAUUACUGGACGAUAACUGACGGUGAGGCGCGAAAGCGUGGGGAGCAAACAGGAUUAGAUACCCUUGUAGUC
rnacentral:rRNA from 1 species